rnacentral:rRNA from 1 species
GACGAACGCUGGCGGCGUGCCUAACACAUGCAAGUCGAACGGUCCGGCACUCAACCGACCCUCAGUCUAGCUGUAGGUGAAGUUGAGUGCCGGAUAGUGGCGGACGGGUGAGUAACGCGUGGGCAACCAACCCUGUACAGUGGGAUAACACCGGGAAACCGGUGCUAAUACCGCAUGACACCUAGAUGGUGCAUACUGUUUAGGUUAAAGGAUUUAACCGGUACAGGACGGGCCCGCGUCCCAUUAGCUGGUUGGUGAGGUAACGGCUCACCAAGGCGACGAUGGGUAGCCGACCUGAGAGGGUGACCGGCCACACUGGGACUGAGACACGGCCCAGACUCCUACGGGAGGCAGCAGUGGGGAAUAUUGCGCAAUGGACGGAAGUCUGACGCAGCGACGCCGCGUGAGCGACGAAGGCCUUCGGGUCGUAAAGCUCUGUUCUUGGGGACGAAUAAAAUGACGGUACCCAAGGAGAAAGCCCCGGCUAACUACGUGCCAGCAGCCGCGGUAAAUCACGUGUACG